rnacentral:sRNA from 1 species
AUGUAGCCCAGAUCGAAGUGAAAAUCCCGACUGCAAAAAAGAUAAUUUUUCUUGUCCUGAAAGAGCGACCAACGGAAGCUCCUUUCAGGAUUUAGAUAAAUAUUUUUUUUAAGGGAGUAUUGUAACGGAGUGCUGGAUAAGCU